rnacentral:lncRNA from 1 species
CUAAUUUUUUAUUCUAUGUUUAUUCUAUCAGACCAUAGAUCUAGAUCUAAACAAAAACCAUUUCAUACAAAAAAAAACCCUCUCAUCUUCUUCAACCAUUUGGAUGAACACCAACACCUCAAACAUCGUCGAUGGCAUCCAUCCACCGCCACACCGCCGAUGACGGCCCAUCCUCCGCCUCGACCUCUGGUUACCACCAUAAUUUCCGAUUUUUGUCGUCGAUGGUGUGUCACCGUCAUAACUUCUACGACGACCGAACACCUCUAGCAAACAAACAACUCCAAUGAUGUACCACCUCCGAUUGUUGUAUCCGAUGGUUUGUUAGGAGAUUUAUGAAUUAGACGACUUUCAUUUACAUUUUGUGCUUAGAUUUGCUUCGAUUGUAGUGAUGUGUUCUUCGUUUCCGACACCUAAGAACACCUGAAAAAAUUGUCUUCCUCUUUUCUCUUUGAUCUCCGAUGCUCUAACACUGACACCCUCUUAAGGUCAGAUGUUUUUUUAUAUGCAAGUAAUAGUUGAGAUCGAGAUAAGCUCAUCUAUAGUUGUUUAUGAUUUUGAUUGCUCAAUAGAUUUGUAGAAACAGAUUUAAUUGAGAAUGUAGAGAGAGCGAAGUAGAUCUUGUAGUCAAUGAAUAGAUCUAUGUUGAAAGUCAAGGAAAAACAAGAGAAAAGCUUUGAUUUUGAUGGAGUAACGAAGCUUUGAUUAUUCUGGAGAUACUAAAAAAAAUUGAUGAGGUACAUAUAGCCAAUCUAAUUUAAUCAUUUUUUUAAUUUACCUGAAUAUUACUUUUUGAUUUGUUUGAAUAUUACUUUUUUAUUUUGCUUGAAUAUUACAUUUUGCUAGCUGUCAUAUAGCUUCUUUACAUUACUUUUUUUGCUAGCUAGCCUAUAGCUUCUUUACAUUUAUUUAUGGAGUCUCAUAUUUACAUUUAUUGAUUGUAUAUAUUGGAUGGGAUACGUACUACUUAAUAGAAAUUGUUAUUAAUUGUUGUUAGUAUUUUUUAAAGACUAUUGGAAUUAUAGACAAAUCAAAUAGCUUAGUGUUUUAAUAUAUAACAUAUAUAAUAAAUAAACUUUGAAUUUGAGAUUGAUUAUGUGAAACUUAACGAUGUAAUACUAUAUAGUCUUAAAAUUUGGUACACAAGGUGCUUAAUGAAAUGCAUUAUUGUAUUAAUAUUAAGUCUUUAAACUGUGAAUUAGUGAAAUAAUUGGUUUAUUAAAUUGUGAAUAUAAUAUGUAAGUUGUGAAUCCAGGAUUUUAUAUAUAGAUUUGAUUUGGAUUGAAUGAUAAUUGCAUCAGUGGCACAAGUGGUACGACAUGUGGUAGUUAGUUAUGGUGCACACAUGGAGUUUGAUGAAAUGCCAAAAAAAUUGGAUAGUCAUUAAGCUGUGAAUAUGUAUUUUUAUGUAUUAAUUUGUGAAUUUGUCAUUUAUUAAGUUGUGAAUGUGUAUUUUUUAUGCACCAAUUGUGAGUUAGUGUCUAAAAUAUUGAAUUAAGUUGAGAAUUAGUGUUUCAAAUGUUUUAUUAAAAUGUGAAAUUUAAUUUUUCUGUUUAGAUCUAAUUUUUGAUGGAUGUUGGCGAUGUGGUUGGUGGUAGCGAUGGUUGAGUAAGGAUAUGUUGCAUUUCUCACUCAUCUUCUUCGAUGAUUUCAGAUAAGUUAUCAUCUUUUAUGAUUCAUGUAUAUGUUAUUCCUUUGUUGUUUGCUUUUAAAAUAUGACAUAAUAUAUGUAUGUAUUAAAUUGUGAAUGAUAUAUGAGAUUAUACUUGUAAAUGAGCUUUGAAUGUAUUGUAAUAAAUUCUGAAUUUUUUGUAUUAAUCUGUGAAGUUUAUUGACGGCUUAAUAUAUUAAAUUCACAAUAUAAUACAUAGAAAUGCCUCCAUACAUGAAUGUAUAAAUGUAAGUUUUAAUUUGAGAUUAUGACUAUAAAUAUAUAUUGUGUGUAUUAAACUAUGAAUUUUCUUAUAUUAAGUCAUAAAUUUUGUGUACUAAACUGUGAAUUGACUGUACUAUGAGUUUUAAGUUGAUAAUAUGGUUGUGAAUGCAUAACUUGUGUAUUAAACUACGAAUUUAUUAUAUUAAGUGGUAAAUUUUGUGUAUUAAGCUGUGAUAUUUGGUUUUUAUAUUGCAAAUUGACUGCAUUAAUCUGUAUAUUUUUUGUUUAAACUGUGAGUUGACUUUAUUAAGCUGUGAAUUAUGUGUAUAAAUUGUGAAUUGACCGCACUAAACUGUGAAUUUUCUAUUUAAAUUGUAAAUUGACUAUGAAUUUUUAAUGAAUUUUAUGUUAAUUUAUGAAUGAUUUACGUAAAAAUGUUUGUACUAAUUUCUAGUGAAUAUAUUUAUUUCAUUGUUGUAUAAAUAUGUAAAAAUGUAUUUGUUUUUAUAAUUAUUUUGCAUGAAACUCUAAAAAUGUGAAUGAAUUUGUUUAUUAAAUUGUUAAUACAAUAUUUAACUACAAAUCAAUGAUUUUAUAUACUGAUUUGAUUUGGAAGAAAUAAUGACAACAACAAUGGCACGGGUGCUUGGUGGAGAUGUGUGGUAGUUAGCCAUGGUGGCAGGCGAAUUUGAGUUUAACUCCUUGAAAUAUAUGAAUUAGUGCAUAAUGGAUUGUAUUACGUCAUGUUGUGAAUUUUAUGUAGUCAACUAAAAAUAGACUAUAUUAAGUUGCAUAUUUAAUAUAAAUUUGGUGUUAAAAUAUGUAUAAUGGUAUGCAUAAAAAUAUUAACACGUCUAUCAGUGAAUUAUUAUGUUUAUUAAAUUGUGAAUAUUGUACUUUAAGCUUUGAAUAUUUCAUAUACAUGAUAUAAUUUUUAAAUAAAUCUACAAUUUAGAAAUAAGAAAAUUGAUUUC